AAUAUAUUACAAAAUCCCGCGAUAGGACAGAUUAUCUCGCGAGAUAGUGGUCACGUCACGCGUUCUUCCGGAAGUUCACAUUCAAACACGAGGAGCGAUUACGAGGGAGUUUUGUCUAUAUAUUAUGCAAAAUCUACUGUUGGGAAAAGCAGAACCUCGUCCAAAUAAAAAUAAACAAACUGUUAAGGGCACUGUGUCCUACACAGACCCUCCAAAAUAUAACCACCCAAAACCCAAGUCAGUUGAAGAUCAACACAAACCAAAUAAAGAUGUUGCACAUUCUACAAACAAUAACAAAAGAUCAAGUUUUGUGUCAAACACACUUAGAUGAGGCGUGCCCGACCCCUGACUUUGUCUACCCUACAUUAAGUUGCACACUUCAUGACAGUAAACAUCGGUAUCAAGAUGGUGUGAUUGAUCUAUACCCUGGCCUAGAAUAAGCUGUGACACUAUGAGACGGUCACAUAAUGAACAGGCAUCUUACAGACAACCGAAAGAGGCAUACGUAUUCUCUACAAUCCCAAAUUCUGGAUUGACGCCCCAGUACCAGAGGGCACCCCAAUCCUAGAGAGCACGCCUAUCCCAGAGAGCAUCCAUCUGAAAGCAGGUCCAGCAACUGUCUGCGUUGGUGGAUAUUCUGUCAGAGACUGCGUGAACAAUGUUAUGAGCAGGAUUUAAUCUGUCACACAUUACUUGUCAGAAGUUUUAAUGUUCGUAGUGGUUCAAACAGUCAGCCAUACUGAAAACAAGAAAUCAAAACAUAAUUUCAGUAAUGAUGUCUAAUUGUCUUAUGGCAAAGUUCAAUAUGAGGGGUGGUGGACAUCUGGAAAAGAAGUCUUUUAAAGGCACACCUUUGUAUUAUGUUAUUCAAGAUGCUGUGAAGAGGUGGAGCCCAAAUGCCAGAGACUCAGAAAUAGAUGCAGCUAUGGCAGACCACCUCAAGCACGCUCCAGGAAGAGGGCUGGGGGUUGUGAAUACACUAAAUAAGCCAAACAGCUGUAAUGUGUAAAAGAGAGAGUUCACCCAAAAAUGAAAAUUGUUAUAAUUUUCUUACCCACAUGUUUCAAACCUGUAUACAUUUCUAUUUUCUGCUGAACACAAAGAUUGAAAAAUGUUUGUAACCAAGCUAACUGUCAAUAAUUUUUUUUUACAACUGUAGUAAUGGGUUGUGAGAUCUGCUUUCUGCUUUCUAUUCUUUCAAAUAUCUUUGUGUUCAGCAGAACAUAGAAAAGUAUACAGGUUUGAAACAUAAGAGAGAGUAAAUUACUAAAUAAUCAUUUUUGGGUGAACUAUCCUUUUAUAUAGUAAAGUAUUUUGAAAUUGUUAUUAUAGUUAAACAGUUUUAAAAAAAUAAAAAGUGCUAAAUCAGAA